GGUUUGAUCAUGGCUCAGAUUGAACGCUGGCGGGAUGCUUUACGCGUGCAGUCGAACGGCAGCACGGACUUCGGGGUCUGGUGGCGAGUGGCGAACAGGUGAGUAAUGUAUCGGAACGUGCACCUGAAGUAGCGGGGGAUAACUACACGAAAGCGCUAAUACCGCAUACGCCCUUCGAGGAAAGCGGGGGACCUUCGGGCUCGCACUAUUAGAACGGCCGAUAUCGGAUUAGCUAGUUGGUGGGGUAACGGCUCGCAAGGCGACGAUCCGUAGCUGGUUUGAGAGGACGACCAGCCACACUGGGACUGAGACACGGCCCAGACUCCUACGAAACCAGCAGUGGGGAAUUUUGGACAAUGGGGAAACCUGAUCCAGCCAUCCCGCGUGUGCGAUGAAGGCCUUCGGGUUGUAAAACACGCAGCAGGAAAGAAACAGCGGGAUAAUACCCCGUGCAACUGACAGUACCUGCAGAAUCGCACCAGUAACUACGUGCCAGCAGCCGCGGUAAUACGUAGGGUGCAAGCGUUAAUCGGAAUUACUGGGCGUAAAGCGUGCGCAGGCGGUUCGGAAGAAAGAUGUGAAAUCCCAGAGCUUAACUUUGGAACUGCAUUUUUGCUACCGAGCUAGAGUGUGUCGGUGGAAUUCCGCGUGUAGCGGUGAAAUGCGUAGAUAUGCGGAUGAACACCGAUGGCGAAGGCAGCCUCCUGGGAUAACGGCACUCAUACACGAAAGCGUGGGGGAGCAAACAGGAUUAGAUACCCUGGUAGUCCGCCCUAAACGUCAACUAACUGUUGGGGCCUUCGGGCCUUGGUAGCGCAGCUAACGUGAAGGAUUGACCGCCUGGGGAGUACGGUCGCAAGAUUAAAACUCAAAGGAAUUGACGGGGACCCGCACAAGCAGUGGAUGAUGUGGAUUAAUUCGAUGCAACGCGAAAAACCUUACCUACCCUUGACAUAUCUGGAAUCCCGAAGAGAUUUGGGAGUGCUCGCAAGAGAACCAGGAACACAGGUGCUGCAUGGCUGUCGUCAGCUCGUGUCGUGAGAUGUUGGGUUGGUCACGGCAGGCGCAACCUUGUCAUUAGUUGCUACGAAAAGGGCACUCUAAUGGAACUGCCGGUGAUAUUCGGAGGAGGAAGGUGGGGAUGACGUCAAGUCCUCAUGGCCCUUAUGGGUAGGGCUUCACACGUCAUACAAUGGUCGGGACAGAGGGUCGCCAACCCGCGAGGGGGAGCCAAUCCCAGAAACCCGAUCGUAGUCCGGAUCACAGUCUGCAACUCGACUGCGUGAAGUCGGAAUCGCGAGUAAUCGCGGAUCAGCAUGUCGCGGUGAAUACGUUCCCGGGUCUUGCACACCACCCGUCACACCAUGGGAGUGGGUUUACCAGAAGUAGUUAGCCUAACCGUAAAAGGGAGGGCGAUUACCACAUUGCAAGUUCAUGACUGAGGGUGAAGUCGUAACAAAGGUAG
rnacentral:rRNA from 1 species